UACGUAGGGUGCAAGCGUUAAUCGGAAUUACUGGGCGUAAAGCGUGCGCAGGCGGUGAUGUAAGACAGAUGUGAAAUCCCCGGGCUCAACCUGGGAACUGCAUUUGUGACUGCAUCGCUGGAGUACGGCAGAGGGGGAUGGAAUUCCGGCGUGUAGCAGUGAAAUGCGUAGAUAUGCGGAGGAACACCGAUGGCGGAAGGGACAACUCCCCUGGGCC
rnacentral:rRNA from 1 species